rnacentral:sRNA from 1 species
AGCAGCCGCGGUAAUUCCAGCUCCAAUAGCGUAUAUUAAAGUUGUUGCAGUUAAAAAGCUCGUAGUUGAAUUUCAGGGUCAGUAGAUUGGUCGUGCCACUGGUAUGUACUGGUCUUGCUGGCUCCUCCUUCCUGAUGAACCGUAAUGCCAUUAAUUUGGUGUUGCGGGGAGACUGGACUGUUACUUUGAAAAAAUUAGAGUGUUUAAAGCAGGCUAACGCUUGAAUACAUUAGCAUGGAAUAAUGAAAUAGGACGUUCGAUCUUAUUUUGUUGGUUUCUAGGAUUGACGUAAUGAUUAAUAGGGAUAGUUGGGGGCAUUAGUAUUCAAUUGUCAGAGGUGAAAUUCUUGGAUUUAUUGAAGACUAACUACUGCGAAAGCAUUUGCUAAGAAUGUUUUCAUUAAUCAAGAACGAAAGUUAGAGGAUCGAAGGCGAUUAGAUACCGCCCUAGUUCUAACCAUAGACGAUGCCAACCAGCGAUCAGCCUGAGUUACCAAAUGAAAUUGACCC